rnacentral:snRNA from 1 species
UGCAGUGGCAGUAUUGCAGCCAAUGAGGUUUAUCCGAGGGGUGAUUAUUGCUCUUUGAAAAUUGAAAAAAAAAAAAAAAAAAAAAAAAAAAAGACACGACAUUUGCAUAAAUUCUUUUUUUUUUUUUUUUUUUUUUGAAAAGGAAUCUCGCUCUGUUGCCCAAACUGGAGUGCAGGGAUGCGAUCUCGGCUCACUGCAAACUCCGCCUCCUGGGUUCAGGCCAUUCUCCUGCCUCAGCCUCC